UACGUAGGGUCCGAGCGUUGUCCGGAAUUACUGGGCGUAAAGAGCUCGUAGGUGGUUUGUCGCGUUGUUCGUGAAAACUCACAGCUCAACUGUGGGCGUGCGGGCGAUACGGGCAGACUUGAGUACUGCAGGGGAGACUGGAAUUCCUGGUGUAGCGGUGGAAUGCGCAGAUAUCAGGAGGAACACCGAUGGCGAAGGCAGGUCUCUGGGCAUUAACUGACGCUGGAGGAAGCGAAAGCCAUGGGGAGCGAACAGGA
rnacentral:rRNA from 1 species